rnacentral:rRNA from 1 species
AUAAGUCAGAUGUGAAAUUCCGAAACUCAAUUUCGGGACUGCAUUUGAAACUGUGUAUCUGGAGGAUUGACGGAGAAAACGGAAUCCACGUGUAGCGGUGAAAUGCGUAGAUAUGUGGAAGAACACCUGUGGCGAAAGCGGUUUUCUAGUUUAUACCUGACGCUGAGGCGCGAGAGCAAGGGGAGCAAACAGGAUUAGAUACCCUGGUAGUCCUUGCCGUAAACGAUGUAUACUUGAUGUAGUGAGGCUCAACCCUGACUGUGUCGAGGCUAACGCGAUAAGUAUACCGCCUGAGGAGUACGCUCGCAAGGGUGAAACUCAGAAGAAUUGACGGGGGCCCGCACAAGCAGUGGAGCAUGUGGUUUAAUUCGAUGCAACGCGAAGAACCUUACCCAGGCUCGAAAUGUAAUGGACGAUACCAGAGAUGGUAUUUUCCGAAAGGACCGUUAUAUAGGUGCUGCAUGGCUGUCGUCAGCUCGUGCCGUGAGGUGUUGGGUUAAGUCCCGCAACGAGCGCAACCCUUAUCAUUAGUUGCCAACACGAGAGGUGGGGACUCUAAUGAGACUGCCUAGGUUAACUAGGAGGAAGGUGAGGAUGACGUCAAGUCCGCAUGGCCUUUAUGUCUGGGGCUACACACGUGCUACAAUGGUCGGUACAGAAGGCAGCAAGACCGCAAGGUGGAGCAAAUCCGUAAAGCCGAUCACAGUUCAGAUUGUAGUCUGCAACUCGACUACAUGAAGUUGGAAUUGCUAGUAAUGACGUGU